AUUGAACGCUGGCGGCAGGCCUAACACAUGCAAGUCGAGCGGAUGAAGGGAGCUUGCUCCUGGAUUCAGCGGCGGACGGGUGAGUAAUGCCUAUGAAUCUGCCUGGUAGUGGGUUAUAACGUCCUGAAACGGGCGCUAAUACCGCAUACGUCCUGAUGGUGAAAGUUGGGGAUCUUCGGACCUCUCGCUAUCAGAUGAUCCUAGGUCGGAUUAGCUAGUUGGUGGGGUAAAGGCCUACCAAGGCGACGAUCCGUAACUGGUCUUAGAGGAUGAUCAGUCACACUGGAACUGAGACACGGACAAGACGACUAAGGGAGGCAGCAGUGGGGAAUAUUGGACAAUGGGCGAAAGCAUGAGACAGCGAGGCGGAGUGUGUGAAGAAGGUCUUCGGAUUGUAAAGAACUUUAAGUUGGGAGGAAGGGCAGUAAGUUAAUACCUUGAUGUAUUGACGUUACCAACAGAAUAAGCACCGGCUAACUACGUG
rnacentral:rRNA from 1 species